rnacentral:rRNA from 1 species
GAUGAACGCUGGCGGCGUGCUUAACACAUGCAAGUCGAACGGGAAACCUUUUAUUGAAGCUUCGGCAGAUUUAGCUGGUUUCUAGUGGCGGACGGGUGAGUAACGCGUGGGUAACCUGCCUUAUACAGGGGGAUAACAGUCAGAAAUGGCUGCUAAUACCGCAUAAGCGCACAGAGCUGCAUGGCUCAGUGUGAAAAACUCCGGUGGUAUAAGAUGGACCCGCGUUGGAUUAGCUGGUUGGUGGGGUAACGGCCCACCAAGGCGACGAUCCAUAGCCGGCCUGAGAGGGUGAACGGCCACAUUGGGACUGAGACACGGCCCAGACUCCUACGGGAGUCAGCAGUGGGGAAUAUUGCACAAUGGGGGAAACCCUGAUGCAGCGACGCCGCGUGAAGGAAGAAGUAUCUCGGUAUGUAAACUUCUAUCAGCAGGGAAGAUAAUGACGGUACCUGACUAAGAAGCCCCGGCUAACUACGUG